UCGAGCGUCAUUUAAACCAAUCCAGCCUUGUGCUUGGGUCUUGGGCCUUCGCCUUAGGGCGGGCCUCAAAAUCAGUGGCGGUGCUUCUGGCUCUAAGCGUAGUAAUACUUCUCGCUAUAGACGUCCGGUGGUGUCUUGCCAGCAACCCCUAAUUUUUUAAGGUUGACCUCGGAUCAGGUAGGGAUACCCGCUGAACUUAA
rnacentral:misc_RNA from 1 species